GGGGCGGGGCGGGGCGGAACAGCCUAGAAGCAGGGCCUGGAACUGCAGGAUACACUCCCCUCCUGCUACCUAGGCAGGCGUGAGGGUGUGACGGCCGCGCAUUCGCCAGACGAGAGCGAUGGCUGAGAACGCCGCACCAGGUCUGAUCUCAGAGCUGAAGCUGGCUGUGCCCUGGGGCCACAUCGCAGCCAAAGCCUGGGGCUCCCUGCAGGGCCCUCCAGUUCUCUGCCUGCACGGCUGGCUGGACAAUGCCAGCUCCUUCGACAGACUCAUCCCUCUUCUCCCGCAAGACUUUUAUUACGUUGCCAUGGAUUUCGGAGGUCAUGGGCUCUCGUCCCAUUACAGCCCAGGUGUCCCAUAUUACCUCCAGACUUUUGUGAGUGAGAUCCGAAGAGUUGUGGCAGCCUUGAAAUGGAAUCGAUUCUCCAUUCUGGGCCACAGCUUCGGUGGCGUCGUGGGCGGAAUGUUUUUCUGUACCUUCCCCGAGAUGGUGGAUAAACUUAUCUUGCUGGACACGCCGCUCUUUCUCCUGGAAUCAGAUGAAAUGGAGAACUUGCUGACCUACAAGCGGAGAGCCAUAGAGCACGUGCUGCAGGUAGAGGCCUCCCAGGAGCCCUCGCACGUGUUCAGCCUGAAGCAGCUGCUGCAGAGGCAGAGAACAGCAUUGACUUCGUCAGCAGGGAGCUGUGUGCGCAUUCCAUCAGGAAGCUGCAGGCCCAUGUCCUGUUGAUCAAAGCAGUCCACGGAUAUUUUGAUCCAAGAGAGAAUUACUCUGACAAGGAGUCCCUGUCGUUCAUGAUAGACACAAUGAAAUCCACCCUCAAAGAGGACUACUUCGGAUACAAUCACAGCAACCCUGGCCUCGGCCCUGCCCUGUCCCUGCCAUGCAACUUCACAACUCAGCUGGCCUAGACCCCUGGGAGGCCUCCAAGUCCCUAAGCGGUUCCAGUUUGUGGAAGUCCCAGGCAAUCACUGUGUCCACAUGAGCGAACCCCAGCACGUGGCCAGUAUCAUCAGCUCCUUCUUACAGUGCACACACACGCUCCCAGCCCAGCUGUAGCUCUGGGCCUGGAACUAUGAAGACCUAGUGCUCCCAGACUCAACACUGGGACUCUGAGUUCCUGAGCCCCACAACAAGGCCAGGGAUGGUGGGGACAGGCCUCACUAGUCUUGAGGCCCAGCCUAGGAUGGUAGUCAGGGGAAGGAGCGAGAUUCCAACUUCAACAUCUGUGACCUCAAGGGGGAGACAGAGUCUGGGUUCCAGGGCUGCUGUCUCCUGGCUAAUAAUCUCCAGCCAGCUGGAGGAAGGAAGGGCGGGCUGGGCCCACCUAGCCUUUCCCUGCUGCCCAACUGGAUGGAAAAUAAAAGGUUCUUGUAUUCUCACU
ensembl:lncRNA SERHL serine hydrolase like (pseudogene)